rnacentral:rRNA from 1 species
AUUGAACGCUGGCGGAAUGCUUUACACAUGCAAGUCGAACGGCAGCACGGGGGCAACCUUGGUGGCGCGUGGCGAACGGGUGAGUAAUACAUCGGAACGUGCCCGGCCGUGGGGGAUAACGUAGCGAAAGUUACGCUAAUACCGCAUACGAUCUGAGGAUGAAAGCGGGGGACCUUCGGGCCUCGCGCGAUCGGAGCGGCCGAUGUGAGAUUGGGUAGUUGUGGGGGUAAAGGCCUACACAGCCGGCGAUCUGUAACUGGUCUGAGAGGACGACAAGCCACACUGGGACUGAGACACGGCCCAGACUCCUACGGGAGGCAGCAGUGGGUAAUUGUGGACGAUGGGCGCAAGCCUGAUCCAGCCAUUCCGCGUGCAGGACGAAGGCCUUCGGGUUGUAAACUGCUUUUGUAGGGAACGAAAAGGCUCUGGCUAAUACCUGGGGCUCAUGACGGUACCGUAAGAAUAAGCACCGGCUAACUACGUG